rnacentral:rRNA from 1 species
AUUGAACGCUGGCGGCAGGCCUAACACAUGCAAGUCGAGCGAGCGGCGGACGUGUGAGUAAUGUAUGGGGAUCUGCCUGAUGGCGGGGGAUAACUACUGGAAGCGGUAGCUACUACCGCAUACCAUCAGAUGAACCCAUAUGGGAUUAGCUAGGAGGUAAGGUAACGGCUGACAUAGGCGACGAUCCCUAGCUGGUCUGAGAGGAUGAUCAGCCACACUGGGACUGAGACACGGCCCAGACUCCUACGGGAGGCAGCAGUGGGGAAUAGUGGACAAUGGGCGAAAGCCUGAUGCAGCCAUGCCGCGUGUAUGAAGAAGGCUUUCGGGUUGUAAAGUACUUUCAGUCGGGAGGCGUUACCGACAGAAGAAGCACCGGCUAACUCCGUGCCAGCCGCCGCGGUAAUAC